rnacentral:tRNA from 1 species
CCGCUCGUGGCGUAAUGGUAGCGCAUCGGCCUUUUAUACCCAAAGGGCACGCCGAGCCGACAGGUGUAGGUUCAAGUCCUACCGGGCGGACCA